GACGAACGCUGGCGGCGUGCCUAACACAUGCAAGUCGAACGGAACUGUUUUGAAAGCUUUCUUCGGAAUGAAUUUGAUUUAGUUUAGUGGCGGACGGGUGAGUAACGCGUGAGUAACCUGCCUUCAAGAGGGGAAUAACAUUCUGAAAAGAAUGCUAAUACCGCAUGACAUAUCGGAACCACAUGGUUUUGAUAUCAAAGAUUUUAUCGCUUGAAGAUGGACUCGCGUCCGAUUAGUUAGUUGGUGAGGUAACGGCUCACCAAGACCGCGAUCGGUAGCCGGACUGAGAGGUUGAACGGCCACAUUGGGACUGAGACACGGCCCAGACUCCUACGGGAGGCAGCAGUGGGGGAUAUUGCGCAAUGGGGGCAACCCUGACGCAGCAACGCCGCGUGAAGGAUGAAGGUUUUCGGAUUGUAAACUUCUUUUAUUAAGGACGAAGAAUGACGGUACUUAAUGAAUAAGCUCCGGCUAACUACGUG
rnacentral:rRNA from 1 species